GGCUGCGUGCGGGGAGGGGUGCGUGCGGGAGGCGGCUGCCUGCGGGGAGCGAGCUGACUAUGGGGAGGGAGCUGCCUGCGGGGAGGGGGCUGACUGCCGGGCAGGCCGCGUGGUUCCCCCGAGAGUGGAGGACCCGUGACGUCAGGCAACAUUUCUCCAAAGCCUCCCUCACCUCGUCCUUUGGGAUCUGGGGUGCUCAGAGGAAGGGGGAAGCCGGGUGGGUGUAGAGAGGGUCACUGGAGAGGGGAAAGGCCGGAGUGAUCCCCUUGGGGAGGAGGCAGAGGAGAAGCUGUGGAUACCCAGAGAGAAGAGGUGGGGUGCGCCUGGGCCUCUCAAGUUUGUUUCCCAGAACCCGGGAAGAUUACGGUAGAAGGGAGGACCCUGUGGGGAAGAAGCUUCCAGAGACCUUCUGGAGAGGUGAGCCAGGGCCAGCCAGGGCCAGAAGCAGAAGGCCAGCUGCAGACCCCAGGCCAGCUGCAGUGGAGAGUCAGUGCUGCAGGAGGCUUGGGAACCAGGGCUGCCCUUCUUGGGCUGAACCCUGUGCCUAGAAGACCAUGGCCCUGGGCAAAAGCGCUGCUUUCUGGGCCCACUGGCGGAAAACACACCCCUGGGUGGAGAUUUAAGAUGCUAAUGAGACACGCAACUGAUGAACAAGCAGGUGCAGGUACUGCGCAUGUGCACCUAGAGGACGCCCCCCCCCCGCCCCGCCCCGCCGAACAUGUUUCCUAGCAACGCCUCUGCCCACCCGCGCCAGCUGACACGGAAAAUAGAAAGAGCCUGUGUUGAAACAUUGGGGGGGUUUCCCCGAUAUCUGGCUUGUCUUGAACUCCUGAGCUCAAGUGAUCCUCCCACCUCAGCCUCUCAAAGUACUGGGAUUACAGGCAUGAACCACUGUGUCUGGCACAAGCAAAUAUUAAAACAACGAAAGUACAAUGGAAUAGAGAGGGAAGGGCCCCCUGUCCAGUGGACACGUGACCCAUGUGACCUUACCUAUCAUUGGAGACAACUCACGCUCCUUAUCCUGCCCUCUUGCCUUGUAUACAAUAAAUGACAGCACAGCCGGGCAUUCGGGGCCACUACUGGUCUCCGAACCUUGGUGGUAGUGGUCCCCAGGGCCCAAAUGUCUUUUCUUCUGU